rnacentral:rRNA from 1 species
CCUACGGGAGGCAGCAGUGGGGGAUAUUGCACAAUGGGGGAAACCCUGAUGCAGCGACGCCGCGUGAGUGAAGAAGUAUUUCGGUAUGUAAAGCUCCAUCAGCAGGGAAGAAACAAGACGGUACCUGACUAAGAAGCCCCGGCCAACUACGUGCCAGCAGCCGGGGUCAUACGUAGGGGGCAAGCGUUUACCGGAUUUACUGGGUGUACAGGGAGGGUAUACGGGAAUACAAGUCGGAAGUGAAAUACCCGGGCUCAACCUGGGAACUGCUGUGGAAACGGGAUGGCUAGAGUGCUGAAGAGGUAAGCGGAAUUCCUAGUGUAGCGGUGAAAUGCGUAGAUAUUAGGAGGAACCCCAGUGGCGAAGGCGGCGUACUGGACAGUAACUGACGCUGAGGCUCGAAGGCGUGGGGAGCAAACAGGAUUAGAUACCCCAGUAGUC